rnacentral:lncRNA from 1 species
AUGAUUGUCUGUUUGACAAGAUGCUGGAAAGGAGAGAGUGCAUCUGAGAGUCACAAACCAUCACAGAAAUUCAAUCGUGAGAGCAAAACUGUGACUGUAUCUCUGCAAGUGCGAAGAUUGGACUGCAGAAUGUUGAAAAUGAUAAGAGCCCUGGCCUUGGGAUCAGAAGACCUGGGUUUGAGCUCUACGCCUUCCAUUUUUGGUGCAAAGCUCUGCCACUAACGUUCUAUAUGACCUUCUGCAAAUGAAUUCACCUCUCUUAGCCCUGGUUACCUCUUCUGUAAAACAAAGACAAGAUCAUCUCUGAGACCCUUCCAUUUCCAGUAUUCUAUUCUUAAAGGUCCCAUUCACUCUCUUUUUCUAUUUUCUGUUCUAUGUUCUGGGGUCCCUUUUAUCUCUAGAAUUCUAUAUUUUAAGGACUGAUAGAAAUAUCACCAUUCCAUGUUCUCUAUUUAAAAAUUCCAUGAUUCCAUGACGUACUAGCUAUAUAAUUUUGGGCUUAGGUUUGUGUAUCUGCAAAAUGAGAUUAAUUCGGAGGGUUGUUAUAAAGAAAAGAUGAUAAAACUAUGGGAGAGUACUUUGAAACCAUUAAAUAUUUUUUAUUAUUGUUCAGUCACAUCUGGCUUUUUGGGAUUUCUUAAAUAUUAUAUGUAUGUUAAUAUCAUUAAGAAAAAAAUUUUGACAAUGAUCCCCAAAAUGCUCUGACCCGGACAAAAUACAAAAGCUAGGGAAACGAAUAAAGAAAAUGGGGAAAAAACA